rnacentral:rRNA from 1 species
AUUGAACGCUGGCGGCAUGCCUUACACAUGCAAGUCGAACGGCAGCACGGGUGCUUGCCCCUGGUGGCGGGUGGCGAACGGGUGAGUAAUACAUCGGAACAUGUCCUGUAGUGGGGGAUAGCCCGGCGAAAGCCGGAUUAAUACCGCAUACGAUCCACGGAUGAAAGCGGGGGACCUUCGGGCCUCGCGCUAUAGGGUUGGCCGAUGGCUGAUUAGCUAGUUGGUGGGGUAAAGGCCUACCAAGGCGACGAUCAGUAGCUGGUCUGAGAGGACGACCAGCCACACUGAGACUGAGACACGGCCCAGACUCCUACGGGAGGCAGCAGUGGGAAAUUUUGGACAAUGGGCGAAAGCCUGAUCCAGCAAUGCCGCGUGUGUGAAGAAGGCCUUCGGGUUGUAAAGCACUUUUGUCCGGAAAGAAAUCCUUGACUCUAAUACAGUCGGGGGAUGACGGUACCGGAAGAAUAAGCACCGGCUAACUACGU